GCAAAGCAGCUGCAAGGCAGUGAGUGAAAUCUUUUGGGAGUGGAAAGGUGCUGCGCGUUUCUCGCUCCCAGCCAACAGCGUGGGAGACAAAUAAUUUUAAUGUGGAUAUUAAUCCCAGAACUCCCAUAAGGUUACCGUAGGUUUAUAAUUGGUGUGUUUAGAGGUUAAAGGUGCCGAGAUAGUGGAAGAGAUUGGAUUCUAAUCGCGGAAGGCUGGUGUUUUUUGCAUUGUGUUGUCAGCUGUUGUAGUGUCUGGGGCUCUUACUAGAAGCCGUGCAGUGGAAGGGAAAGGUAUUUUUUAAAAGGUCUAUGAUAAGAGGAAGCUUGGAAAGAAAAAGAAACCUUCCCUUCCUCCUCCCUCCUCCUCAGGUGUGCAGAGCUUCGCGUUAUUGAGAAUCUUGAAUCAGGGUCCUGCCUGAGAGGCGAAUUCCCCCGUAGCUCAUAAAUUAGAUUCCUCUCCACCACUAGUGUCAGUGUGCUUAGUGUAUAGUUGCAUCAAAUACCUCCUCCUUUAUGGUGAUACUCGCCGUCGCCAGGGUCGUCUAGAUACGCUGAGAACGGGGCGUGUGUGUGUGUGCCGAUAUCGGGCGUUGUGGGGAUACCCCGCCCAUGGCCUUGGUGGGCACACGUUCGGGCAGUGGGCGGCAGCACGGGAUGGCGGGCAUCGGAGAGCGAGGCGUUGGCGUCGUGCCUUCUACCCACCACAAUGCUAUCUUAGCAGCUGCUCAGCCCAGCUAUUACGCCCAUCUGGACCCACGGGGUGUUGCGCCCCAAGCUGGAACGGGCGUCGGGGCCAUUCACGCCCAUCAUCCCCACCACAGGAGCAGCAGCGCUUCCAGCCAGCAGCAGCAGCAGCAGCAACAGCAGCAGCAGCCCGCCCAAGGUGCAGCUGCAGGUACGGGCGGCGGACAGGCCCAACAGCCACACCACGGACAGACCCCUUCGCCUGCGCCUGCAAGUACGCAAGAUGUGACGCCUGAUAGACCCAUCGGCUACGGAGCUUUCGGAGUUGUAUGGGCGGUAACGGACCCGCGUGACGGGAGGAGAGUGGCGCUGAAGAAAAUGCCCAACGUGUUCCAGACUUUGGUUUCCAGUAAGCGUGUCUUCCGAGAGCUCAGAAUGCUGUGUUUCUUCAAACACGAAAAUGUAUUAUCGGCGCUAGAUAUCCUGCAACCUCCUCACCUCGACUUCUUCCAGGAAAUAUACGUCAUCACUGAGCUCAUGCAGAGCGACCUUCAUAAGAUCAUCGUCUCUCCUCAGCAUCUCUCCGCCGAUCAUGUCAAGGUCUUCCUUUAUCAAAUUCUCAGAGGACUGAAAUACCUCCACUCGGCCAGGAUCAUCCAUCGCGACAUCAAACCUGGAAACCUCCUCGUCAACUCAAACUGUGUUUUAAAGAUCUGUGAUUUCGGUUUAGCGAGAGUGGAAGAACCAGACGAGACCAAGCACAUGACUCAGGAGGUCGUGACCCAGUAUUACAGAGCUCCCGAACUCCUCAUGGGGGCUCGUCACUACACUCAAGCAGUUGAUGUGUGGUCUGUCGGCUGUAUAUUUGGUGAACUCUUAGGGCGUCGUAUUCUGUUCCAGGCACAAAGUCCUGUUCAACAACUUGAACGAAUAACAGACCUGUUAGGCACCCCAAAUUUAGAAGAUAUGAAAUAUGCUUGUGAGGGCGCCGUCACACACAUGCUACGGAGACCUUCCAAACCACCAGCGUUACCUGCCCUCUACACACUCUCUUCGCACGCAACCCAUGAUGCCGUCCAUUUACUCACCCAGAUGCUUGCCUUUGACCCUGAUAAAAGGCUGACAGUUACUGAAGCGCUCGGUCACCCUUACCUCGAUGAAGGCCGAUUAAGAUACCAUUCAUGUAUGUGUACCUGUUGUUCCUCCACAAACUGUGGUGGUAGACAAUAUACACAUGAAUUUGAACCAACUGCUCCACAUGCUUUUGAUGACACAUGGGAGAAUGAGUUGCGUUCUAUGUCGCAAGUAAAAGACCGCCUACAUAAAUUCAUCAUGACUCAUCUGGCAAGAGAUCGUGUGCCAUUGUGUAUCAACCCCAUGUCUGCAGCAUAUAAAAGUUUUGCAAGCAAGGUGUAUGAGCAGUAGAAGAUCAGAAGAGGGCUUAUCUGGUGUUUCAUAAGGAGGGAAUGAAGAAAUGCAAGCUGAAAUUGAAAAAAAAUAAUUGCGAGUUGUAGUCCAGAGGCACCCAACGCCACGUUUCAUUGCCAGACGUGAGAUCUUUUUUAUCAUUCAACUGUAGCACAUCCUUCUGAGCUCCCACCUUCCCCUCAUCAAUGGGAUUGACAGGACGCUAAACACUAGCUUCAGUAGUUUUGACACCCACAUUUUCCUCUUUAUCCGAAAAAUGAUAAAGAGCAGCACAGUGGGACAAAUAACAGGAAUUUGUGUAAUGGUAGGAUGAAAACUUGCUCAUUGGCUCAAGCAUAGAAUAAUCGAGUGAAAUAAAAAGAGUGAAGUCUGGAAGGAUAAAGUAUUCAAGUACUGUUCUUGACUAAAACUGUGUUGCUUGUUAUAUACAUUUCUUGUAUGUAUGGGAGACAGUACACCAGCCAUGUAUUUUUACAGUGCUUACUUGAAAUGCUACAUGCUAUUAAUUUAAAUGAUUAAACUGGAAAGUACUACAUGUAAAGCUUGAUUUUGCAAGUGACGUUCCGCAGAAAACUGAAAAUACAAGUAAUUUGGUGUUCCAUACAUCGUACAUGAACCAAAUAGUGUUCUGGUGAUAUAAAUAAAGACUUGUCAGCAGUGUGUAUGUUUAUAAAUGGUGAGAUGAAUGCUUUGUAGGCUGUUAUGCCAUAUCUGUAGUCAAAUCACUGCCAUGUGCACUAGGGGGUAAAAUGGCCAGCAUUAUAAGGGUUGAAGGGCUGUGCUAAUAUGCACUGACCCAUCAUCUUUGGCCUGUAACUUCAUUUAAUCCACUGAUGUAGAUCUGUGUGAGCUUGCCAUAAUGAACAUCACUGUGCAGUAAUGUGAAAACCUUGCUCAACAUCAUGAUCUCCCAUUGUUUAAGCUCCUUGCAAGGUAGCAGACACAAGAGCAUCCAUAGCUUGAAAUGGUGACUGAAGAGAGACAUUGUUACCCUCUACAGUUCCCUCCUUACAUGUGUAAAAAGUAAUGAUAACAAUGUUACUGCAAGAGCUUUUUGAUAAAUUAAUAAUAGAAGAUGCAGAAUCGUAGGCGUCACUAUAAGAAAAAGUUUGCGUGUAUUUGUAGAUAUUGUCUACAAUAUAAUCUCCAUUUGUACCUGGGUAUGGAAUUUGAUAUACCUGUAUUGACAAAAAUGUUUUGGUUUGGAUGCUGAAAUACUGCAUAUGUCAGUUUUAUCAAAGCUUAUUUUAUUCUGACAGAUUCAACAGGCAUAAAAAAGAAAAAGAAAAAAAAUUUCCUUUGAAAUGACUGAAUAAGUAGAAAGAAGUACUCUUUCUUUAGGAAAUUAUAUCCAUCCAGAUAAGUACAUCUCAUUCCAUUGAUAUGUUGAUGAUUCAUUAUUCAUGCUCCUAAACUUCAACCCUUGUUACUCUCAGGUAUUUGAAGCAUACAUAAGUCCUUUUUUGUCUCAUUUUAUUGUCAUCUGCUGUUACAUUUUCAUCAAGUAAACAUAAUGGUUAUGAUUCCUAUUAUUUAAUUAUGUAUGCAAAGGUAGAAGAUUGUCCGUUUCAUUGCAUUUCACUGAUGUAAAUUCACAAUAAUCUGUUCUACCUUAUUAUUGAAGGUAGUGCAAAACUGUAAUUGCAAGUACCAAGUUUUCAAGUGCAAUCAGUUUUAGAGUUGCAAUAAAAAAACACUUUUCCAUUAUUGCUUUUAGUAAUUCACCAAAUGGAGGUAGAUUUACUCAUAAGUGAAAGGCCGAGACCUAACCAGGAGUAAAGUUUGUGUAAUUAUGCAUUUUUCUAAGUUUUUCAGAAUUAGGGAUGUUUUAUACAUAGGUCAUAGCAAGAUCACACCACCGGGAAAGUUACAUGUCUGUGAUACUUCAGCAAGAGAUAAGAGACAGGAGUUAUUUUUCUCUCAAAACAGACUAGGCAGAUGUUUUGUACCUUUUUUUUUUUACUUUGGGGGGAAAAAUUGAAAGGAUAUUAAUGGUGCUCAUGUUUUAGUAAAACAGGUGUACAUUAGAACAGGAAAAUAUGAGGGUAAUGUAAACUUUCUGGUUAAGAACAUUAAUGAAAAGAAAAUGGUGUUUUCAAAAUUUUCUUGCAAAUUUUUAACAGGACAUGCAUUUUUAUUGUUGCAGGUAUUCCGUGAGCAGUAAGGUAACCACAAGUCUGUCCUUCCUCUAUUACACUGAAUUUUUAAAGUUGUAACAGACAUUUCACUUCUUAGAAUUUUUCUCAUACUUGGAUAAACUUUCACAUUAUGGGAGUAAUGACUUUAUUUAUGAUAUACACUGACUACCUCAUAUGAUUUCCAUAGCCCCACCCAGUCCUUACCAUUACCAUUGCUAAUAUUUGUACUGUAUUUUUUUUGUGUAUACCUUCUAGCAUUUAAUUUGAAGAGUGUGAAGUAUUUAUUAUUUUAUUAAUUAUCAUUGUUGUUGUUAUUUUUUUAUGUUUAAAACUGAUGUGGUCAUGGUAGACUUGUAUGACAAAGAUCUCUUUACAGAAACAAGUCAGGUUAGCUCACGACUUGUUUGCUUUGCAGUUUAGACAUAGAGAUUUUGCCAAGUUUCUGCUCAAGAACGUUAAGAAUUAUAAUACAUGUACUGUAUUGCAUCAUGGUCUUAAUGAUUACAUUUUUUUGUUAUUUAUUGUAUACAUGGUGGAUGAAAUUCCUUCAAUAGAUGAAACUGUUUUGUACAAAAUUUUAUCCUUUUAUCUUUGGGUGUGUAUUGCAAUGGAUGGUCUUCAUGAGUUCUGGAUUGAAUAGCUUAGUGACUUGUAUUCUGAUAUACUAUCACCAUUGUUUGACCAACAAUCUUUUGACUUGAUUUGAGAGAUAAUUAGGCUUUCAUUUCAAUAGUGUAGCUUUGCCUUCCUUUGGCUAGAGUUAAUUCUUAAUUUCACUCUCAAUAAAAUGUUUGCUUUUGGUCAUGAUCCCUGAUGCAUACCUAGGGGUGUAUAUGGUGACCAUAUCUCUUGAAAUAUGUGAUCUUUUUGGAAAUGGCAAAGGUCUGGUCCUUAGGUAGCGUAGUGGUGUAGAUUCAAAAUCUGGAUUUUUAGACUUAGAUAAGGACCUUUCAUGCAGCCAUAUCCAAAACAAGCAUCCACAUAUUUUUUAAAAUUUUUACAAGAAUGAUCUCUUAUAUUUUUCCCAGACCAGGACUGAUUUGAGAGACCUGGGACUGUGGAAUACAAUGUAUAAGUGUAGAUACUUGUACAGAAUUGUAGUGGCGGAAUGAGUGGUGUGUAUGUAAUAUUUUAAUAAGUAAGUAACAUGAAAUGGACAAAGUGAUAGUGUGUAUUUUGACUUUGGUAUUUUACUUGUAAGUUUGUAGAGAUGUAUGUCAUAAUUAUUGUGCCUAUCACUAAAGCUUACAUUAAUUUUGCGUAAUCAGUGAUUUGCAAGACUAGGAUAAAAUGGACUCUGGAAUGAACUUAUUUUAAUUGAAUUGCGGUUCCAUUUUUUUAAAGAUGUAUAAGUUUUGUAUGUUGUAAUUUUGAUUAUUGUGUGCAUGAUAACUUAGGGUACAGAAUUUCUUUCCAGAACCUUCAAUUAAUUCUUCAGCCAAAUUUUAUAGGCCAACAAUUGAGGUUAAGAAUUUUUGUACAUUUUUUACCAAAAAGAGAGUACGUAUUUGUGGGUGUUUGUAUCCCAUAUUUUUUUCUUACAUGAUAGAAUAAGCAUCUGUGUGCAUAUUUGCAUGAAGACUGUGCUGCUGUAUUUUAUAAAUGUGACAAGAUCAAGGUCUUUGAUAAAGAGUAAGCUCUUAUGUGUAUGUAAAGAUGUAAAGUUCUAUCAUCCUGCCUGGUUAUGAACCCUGAAUUAUUUCUUAAAAGUUGAUAAGAUGUGCAUUAAUAGGCAAAUGAAUUUCUACCUUUAUUCUUUGUCUCUAGUUAAAUUGCUUUUUUUAAUAUUUUAGAUGAUACAUUAUUUAUGGCUAGGCUCACUUUUGAUUCAUAGCUCAAAAACGCGCAGGAACCAAAGGCUGCUAUGAGGGACAGGCACUCAUUGUUAGUAGUGUUGAUACCAUGUUGCAAUAUUAUUGAAAGGCAAGUUGUCCAUUGCCUUAAGUCAGUGUCUCGCCGAGCAUUUGUCAACUGAACUUAUAACUGCCCAUUUUUUGGUGUAUUAUUUCAAGCAUUAAGUCCAACGUGAUCAUACGUGAUAAUUAAAUAAUUUUUUUAC